CUACGGGAGGCAGCAGUGGGGAAUAUUGCACAAUGGGGGAAACCCUGAUGCAGCCAUGCCGCGUGUGUGAAGAAGGCCUUCGGGUUGUAAAGCACCUUCAGCGGGGAGGAAGGGAAUAUGGCUAAUAUCCAUGUUCAUUGACGUUACCCGCAGAAGAAGCACCGGCUAACUCCGUGCCAGCAGCCGCGGUAAUACGGAGGGUGCAAGCGUUAAUCGGAAUAACUGGGCGUAAAGCGCACGCAGGCGGUUUGAUUAGUCAGAUGUGAAAUCCCCGGGCUCAACCUGGGAACUGCAUUUGAAACUGUCAAACUAGAGUCUUGUAGAGGGGGGUAGAAUUCCAGGUGUAGCGGUGAAAUGCGUAGAGAUCUGGAGGAAUACCAGUGGCGAAGGCGGCCCCCUGGACAAAGACUGACGCUCAGGUGCGAAAGCGUGGGGAGCAAACAGGAUUAGAUACCCCAGUAGUC
rnacentral:rRNA from 1 species